AUUGAACGCUGGCGGCAGGCCUAACACAUGCAAGUCGAGCGAGCGGCGGACGGGUGAGUAAUGUCUGGGAAACUGCCUGAUGGAGGGGGAUAACUACUGGAAACGGUAGCUAAUACCGCAUACCAUCAGAUGUGCCCAGAUGGGAUUAGCUAGUAGGUGGGGUAAUGGCUCACCUAGGCGACGAUCCCUAGCUGGUGUGAGAGGAUGACCAGCCACACGGGAAAGGGGAAACGGGCCAGAGUCCUACGGGAGGCAGCAGUGGGGAAUAUUGCACAAUGGGGGCAAGCCUGAGGCAGCCAGGCCGCGUGGGUGAGGAAGGCCUUCGGGUUGUAAAGCACUUUCAGCGGGGAGGCGUUACCCGCAGAAGAAGCACCGGCUAACUCCGUGCCAGCAGCCGCGGUAAUAC
rnacentral:rRNA from 1 species